rnacentral:miRNA from 1 species
CAAGGUGACUGACUGUCCUGGUUUCUCCAGAACUGAAGGGUUUCUUGAGACAUUGAACUUUCAGGUUUAAAAGUGGAGCAGUCAUGGACAAAUCUGGAUGGUUGGUCACCCUGGUUAACU